CGGCGUACCUCCGUGGCAACAGAAGAUUUUCUCGUCCACGAUGGCGGCGAUGGGCAGGCAGUUGAAGCAGUCGGUGAAGGUCUUCCACAGCUUGAUGUUGAAGCGCCGCUUGCCUAGAGGACACAGGACACGGGAUGGGAUGAUGAACUCCUUGUGCAGUUUGUUGGCGCCAAGGCAUCACGUGCGAGUGACUUGAGGAGCUUCGCGUCACAUUCUGCCAAGUGAUUGCCGUUAGCUAAUUUGACAUGGCCCAUUUGAAGUCCCUCGGCAGGCGCUUGCAGCUCACAACCAUAUUUGUUACUGGAUUGCGAGUAAAGCUUUACAACGUUACAAAAGAAGCACACGCUCGCUAGGUGGGUCCAAAGAGGGGUGAGGACAACGAGCCAUUUGCCGACAGCAAACCGUAUCAUCGGCUGGUAACGCUCGAGAGUCCAUUACGGAACGCGCCGCAAAGCGGCCGUGUCUCGGCCGUGUCUCGGCCGUGUCUCGGCCGUGUCUCGGGCGUUCCGACCAGCGAACAGCGUGGUUCCAGCCGCCAAACGGCGCCACGCCUGGCUCGCUACUACGGCUAAGAACGCCACGUGUCUGCGUGCCGGCGCGUGUCUGCGUGUGAGCUGUGGUCGACAGCAGCCCUCGCGCGACAUCACACCAAGUGUGUCAAGCGGCGGCAUAGAGUGAUCAAUUUGAUUCAACAGGCGCUCGCCCAACCUUGAGUGUUUUCUAUCUAGCGGAACCAAACAACUGCGUCCGUCCGUCCGUCCGUCGUUAUCGACCAAGUUACGUUUGUAUUUGGGGGAGAAAACGCCGACUUGUGCUAGGAAGGUGAACGGCAGUGCCGCCCGCCCGCCACCGUGCUGCGUUCAAGGGACACCAGCACUAUGUCCAAUAAUUGGAGCACGAUGUUGCUGCUUUGAUUUCGGCGCGCUCCAACGAUGCCAUGACGUGCGAUGCGCUUGUAAGAAGGCAUUGUCAGGGCGUCGAUAACGAACGACAAUGACUCCGGCUCGUGCCGAUGGACGACAAGUUUUGGAAGCCACGUAAACGCCACACAUCGAUAGCCAAGGUGUGAGAGCCCGUCCAGAAACGUGUAAAUAAUCAAAUACAGGGUAAAGAGAGGCAAGGGGCGAAGUGAGCUGAAAGGUGCGGUUGAGAUGUCCCCCCCCAACAAGACCCCCAGCAGCACCCCGAGAGCAAGUCGAGCAAAGCUACAAGCUGAUGGCCCAAAACAAGGCAACGACGCAAUGGCACGUAGCGCACCGCCCGUCCGCCCGCCCGCACGCGCGCACUCCGCUGACUAAAGAGUCGUACUCACCCUCUAAAAGCCUGGAAAUCAACGAGUCCACGUCCAACUCCCCCUCCGCCAUUUGUGUUCCGAAGAGCUCGCUUGCGCCGCAGUGAAGGAGACUCCGAAGGUACCGCCUCACUGGCCCCAAACGCACCACCAAGCCGAGC